rnacentral:lncRNA from 1 species
UUGAGAAGUGAGGCAUAUUUUUAGGCCACUAUUGGUCGCCCAGCCUCCCUUUUGGACCGCCCAACACCACAUGUUUUGACCCAUUGGGAAGCUAAGUUGGUUAGCCUAUCGUGGAUUAGGUUACAUGCAUGGUGACAUCUCCUACUUGUUUGUCAUGGCCUAUGUCAUGCAUGAGGUCAUGUGCUUGGUCUUGAAGUAAAGAUAUGGCAAGUUGCU